CAGUCCUUGAACUCAACCUCUGCCUCCCAGUUGCUGGAAUUAAAGGUAUUAAAUCUGCUUCUCGGCCCUGCUGCCACGUCUUUCCUACCAUGGUGGAUUAUACCUUCAAACCGUGAGCCUGUAACAGAACCCCAGACCUUAGCAUGAUGGAAAUACCAUUCAGGUCAUAAAACUCAACAUAUAGACAGUACCACCUGUCAAAAUGAAAACAAAAACCAAACCCAUCAAAGCUCAUAGUUCUGGGAAAGUCUCUAAAUGUGCUAACUGUGCCUUUUGCCUUCUAGAGUUCCACUUCAGGAUAACUGUUCUUGUUAAAUGAAGUAUGUCAACUCAGAACAUGGAUUUUGUGCUUCAGAGCUCAUCCUGAGAGAAGGUCAAGGCUAUGCUGGUUUCUCCAGUGUAGUCUCUGACCGUCUAAUAAAGACUUUCCAUUGGCUUAAGCUCAUGUCAGAUCUGUCUUCUCUGGUGACCACCCCACAACAAUUCCAAAUAACUCUUUCCUUCCUAAAAUUACUUUUGUUAGAUAUUUUUUGACAACAAGAAAAACAGCCAGUGCACCCCAAGACUCCUUCCUAAUGUCUACUUCUCCAAAUAGAAGAGACUUUUUUUUCUGUUGUAUCUUUUCUAAAUAAAUAUAUAACAAGCUUUA